rnacentral:rRNA from 1 species
GUUGCACAGACGGUAGAGAUUCCGUCCCCACCGAAAGACUUAAGCACAGGGACACUUUCAGAAGGUCGGAGCCAGGUGUUGGCUCUGGUAGUGAUCGAGGGAAAUAUAGUACCGAAGUCCGGCUGGAAGAGAGGCGAGAAAAGCUGUGUGUAUGUUUAAGGUGCCCGUACCGCAAACCGACACAGGUAGGUAGGAAGAAGAUUCUAAGGCCAACGGGAGAAGGGUUGUUAAGGAACUCGGCAAGUUGACCCCGUAACUUCGGAAUAAGGGGUGCUCACGAGAGUGAGCCGCAGAGAAUAGGCCCAGGCAACUGUUUACCAAAAACACAGGUUUGUGCUAAAUCGAAAGAUGACGUAUACGAGCUGACGCCUGCCCGGUGCUGGAAGGUUAAAAGGAGAUGUGCAAGCAUUGAAUUGAAGCCCCAGUGAACGGCGGCCGUAACUAUAACGGUCCUAAGGUAGCGAAAUUCCUUGUCAGGUAAGUUCUGACCCGCAUGAAAGGCGUAAUAAUCUGGGCACUGUCUCAACAGCCCGCCCGGCGAAAUUGUAGUACCGGUGAUGAUGCCGGUUACCCGCGACAAGACGGAAAGACCCCAUGGAGCUUUACUGUAGCCUGAUAUUGGGUUUCGGUGUUGCAUGCACAGGAUAGAUGGGACGCUGGGAAAGAGUCGCUUUGGCGAUUCUGGAGCGGACGUUGGGAUACCAUCCUUGCGACAUUGGAAUUCUAACCUGCGCCUCUGAAUCGAGGCGGGGGACAUUGUCAGGUGGGCAGUUUGACUGGGGCGGUCGCCUCCUAAAAAGUAGCGGAGGCGUUCAAAGGUUCGCUCAGCUUGGACGGAAACCAAGCUAGAGAGUGCAAACGCAAAAGCGAGCCUGACUGCGAGACUGACGGGUCGAGCAGAGACGAAAGUCGGAGUUAGUGAUCCGGUGGUAUGUGAGUGGAAAUGCCAUCGCUCAACGGAUAAAAGUUACCCUGGGAUAACAGGCUGAUCUCCCCCAAGAGUCCACAUCGACGGGGAGGUUUGGCACCUCGAUGUCGGCUCAUCGCAUCCUGGGGCUGAAUUCGGUCCCAAGGGUUUGGCUGUUCGCCAAUUAAAGCGGUACGCGAGCUGGGUUCAGAACGUCGUGAGACAGUUCGGUCCCUAUCUGUCGUGGGCGCAGGAUAUUUGAGAGGCGCUGUCCCUAGUACGAGAGGACCGGGAUGGACGAACCUCUGGUGCACCAGUUGUCACGCCAGUGGCACAGCUGGGCAGCUAUGUCCGGAUCGGAUAAACGCUGAAAGCAUCUAAGCGUGAAGCCGGCCUUAAGAUAAGAUAUCCCACUGAGUCAAUCAGGUAAGACCCCUUGAAGACUACAAGGUUGAUAGGCACAGAGUGUAAGCGGAGUGAUCCGUUCAGCUAGUGUGUACUAAUAGGUCGAGGGCUUGAC